CGGACGGGUGAGUAACGCGUGGGUAACCUGCCUCAUACAGGGGGAUAACAGUUAGAAAUGACUGCUAAUACCGCAUAAGACCACAGCACCGCAUGGUGCAGGGGUAAAAACUCCGGUGGUAUGAGAUGGACCCGCGUCUGAUUAGGUAGUUGGUGGGGUGACGGCCUACCAAGCCGACGAUCAGUAGCCGACCUGAGAGGGUGACCGGCCACAUUGGGACUGAGACACGGCCCAA
rnacentral:rRNA from 1 species